GAUGAACGCUAGCUACAGGCUUAACACAUGCAAGUCGAGGGGUAGCACGGAGGAAGCUUGCUUCCUUGGGUGACGACCGGCGCACGGGUGAGUAACGCGUAUCCGACCUACCCAUUACUCGGGCACAGCCGCUCGAAAGAGUGAUUGAUUCCCGAUAUGUCCUUGGAGUAGAUUCAAUGAUGAAAGAUUUAUCGGUAACGGAUGGGGAUGCGUGACAUUAGAUAGUAGGCGGGGUAACGGCCCACCUAGUCUACGAUGUCUAGGGGUUCUGAGAGGAAGGUCCCCCACACUGGAACUGAGACACGGUCCAGACUCCUACGGGAGGCAGCAGUGGGGAAUAUUGGGCAAUGGGGGAAACCCUGACCCAGCAACGCCGCGUGAAGGAAGAAGGCCUUCGGGUUGUAAACUUCUUUUACCAGGGACGAACACAAUGACGGUACCUGAAGAAAAAGCAACGGCUAACUACGUG
rnacentral:rRNA from 1 species